UCAUCAUCAUAAUUUCAUUGAACUUUCAUAACCAAAGACAUAUUGCAUGGGCUCAAGACAUGAAAUUUAAAAAAUAAAAAAAAUAAAAAAAAUAGGGAAAUCGAUUUACCCAAUUAGGGAAAUCGAUUUACCCAAUUAGGUAAAUCGAUUUCCCCUGCGCAGACACCAAAAAUAAGCCUUUUUUUGCACAAAGGGUAUUUGGUUCCCCCCACUUUCCCACUUGCUUUCCCUAUAAAUAGAUG
rnacentral:lncRNA from 1 species